rnacentral:rRNA from 1 species
UACGUAGGGUGCGAGCGUUGUCCGGAAUUACUGGGCGUAAAGAGCUCGUAGGUUGGUUGUCGUCGUUGUCGUGAAAACUCACAGCUUAACUGUGGGCGUGCGGGCGAUACGGGCAGACUGGAGUACUGCAGGGGAGACUGGAAUUCCUGGUGUAGCGGUGGAAUGCGCAGAUAUCAGGAGGAACACCCGUGGCGAAGGCGGCUCUCUGGAACGCAAACCUGACGCUGAGACGCGAAAGCGUGGGGAGCAAACAGG